UACGUAGGGUGCGAGCGUUGUUCGGAUUCAUUGGGCGUAAAGGGUGCGUAGGCGGCGCGGUAAGUCGGGUGUGAAAUCUCGGGGCUUAACUCCGAAACUGCAUUCGAUACUGCCGUGCUUGAGGACUGGAGAGGAGACUGGAAUUUACGGUGUAGCGGUGAAAUGCGUAGAUAUCGUAAGGAAGACCAGUGGCGAAGGCGGGUCUCUGGACAGUUCCUGACGCUGAGGCACGAAGGUCAGGGUAGCAAACGGG
rnacentral:rRNA from 1 species